rnacentral:lncRNA from 1 species
AUGCUUGUAAACGGGUGGUGGUGGGGAUUUGUACAUUGGUGGAGGUGGUGGUGGAGACUUGUACUUGUAAACGGGUGGUGGUGGGGACUUGUACUUGUAAAUAGGUGGCGGUGGGGAUUUAUGGACUGGUGGAGGUGGUGGUGGGGACUUGUACUUGUAAACGGGUGGUGGUGGGGAUUUAUAAACUGGUGGAGGUGGUGGUGGAGACUUGUACUUAUAAACGGGUGGUGGUGGGGACUUAUACUUGUAAACGGGUGGCGGUGGGGAUUUAUAAACUGGUGGAGGUGGUGGUGGAGACUUGUACUUGUAAACGGGUGGUGGUGGGGACUUGUACUUGUAAACAGGUGGCGGUGGGGAUUUAUAGACUGGUGGAGGUGGUGGUGGAGACUUGUACUUAUAAACAGGUGGUGGUGGAGACUUAUACUUGUAAACGGGUGGUGGUGGAGAUCUAUAAAUUGGUAGAGGUGGUGGCGGGGAUUUGUACUUAUAAACUGGAGGUGGUGGUGAUGAGUACACGUACUUCUUGGUUGGUGGAGGAGGAGAAC